GUUUAAUCAUCUUUUCAAUGAAAACAUGCCUUUCUACAGCUCCAAGCUUGGUAACAUCAGUUACUCUUUUCGUCUUAACAUUGGCCUCAUUGCCAUUGACUUCCUCAAAUACAGAUGAUCUCAACCUGUCAUACGUUGGCAGUCUCUCAAUUGCUGCCCAAGCCAACAUGUUCUCCUCAUCCACAACGUCCUUUUCAGAAGCACUCAA
rnacentral:misc_RNA from 1 species